GGGGUGUGCUCAGAGCAGGGGGCCUGAAGAAUGGCUUCUCUGUUUACAACACACCCAAGAAGAAUCUGGGGCCAUUGUAAUGAGGGGCAUAAGCAGUUUCCUCUCUGAUUGGAUCCCCUACAUGU